rnacentral:snRNA from 1 species
UUGAGCCGUCACACGGAAUCGA